UACGUAGGUGGCAAGCGUUGUCCGGAUUUACUGGGCGUAAAGAGCGCGCAGGCGGUCGUUCAAGUCGCGUGUGAAAGCCCCCGGCUCAACUGGGGAGGGUCACGCGAUACUGAUCGACUCGAAGGCAGGAGAGGGAAGUGGAAUUCCCGGUGUAGUGGUGAAAUGCGUAGAUAUCGGGAGGAACACCGGUGGCGAAGGCGGUUCUCUGGGCCUGACCUGACGCUGAGGAGCGAAAGCGUGGGGAGCGAACAGG
rnacentral:rRNA from 1 species